rnacentral:rRNA from 1 species
AUGUACAGCAAUACUUUCGUUUCUUCUCUUUUCCCGAAACUUGAACCACUAGUCUUUUUACAGCAGAAGUACCUUUUGUUUUGGUUGUACCAUCGGGGGGUUUGUGGAGUUUGUUUCAACCAUUGCAAGUAUGAGACUGAGGGAAGCGGUUUCAACAUGUUUGCAUGGGAGGAGUUCAAGAAUGCAGGGGUUGUGCCCUGCAAUGAAAGGGCCCGUUUCAACAAUGUGACAGGAGAGAAGGUGACGUUUGUGGCAAACCAACAGGCAUACACUGUAAAGUGUUACAAGGGUCACAGAAAGAGCGCUAUGUAUGGGAGAGGUUGGAGGAAGUUCUAUGAAGACAACAAGCUGGGCAAGGGUCAGAUGGUGGUGUUCUUCAUGUUCAUGGAUCAACCUUCGCCUAUGGCAUCUAUUUUGUGGUUCUAA